rnacentral:rRNA from 1 species
UGAACGCUGGCGGCGUGCCUCAUACAUGCAAGUCGAGCGAACAGACGCGGAGCUUGCUCCUCUGACGUUAGCGGCGGACGGGUGAGUAACACGUGGAUAACCUACCUAUAAGACUGGGAUAACUUCGGGAAACCGGAGCUAAUACCGGAUAAUAUAUUGAACCGCAUGGUUCAAUAGUGAAAGACGGUUUUGCUGUCACUUAUAGAUGGAUCCGCGCCGCAUUAGCUAGUUGGUAAGGUAACGGCUUACCAAGGCAACGAUGCGUAGCCGACCUGAGAGGGUGAUCGGCCACACUGGAACUGAGACACGGUCCAGACUCCUACGGGAGGCAGCAGUAGGGAAUAUUCCGCAAUGGGCGAAAGCAUGACGGAGCAACGCCGCGUGAGUGAUGAAGGUCUUCGGAUCGUAAAACUCUGUUAUUAGGGAAGAACAAAUGUGUAAGUAACUAUGCACGUCUUGACGGUACCCAAUCAGAAAGCCACGGCUAACUACGUG